rnacentral:rRNA from 1 species
UACGUAGGGUGCGAGCGUUAAUCGGAAUUACUGGGCGUAAAGUGUGCGCAGGCGGCCGCGCAAGUCGAGUGUGAAAGCCCCGAGCUUAACUUGGGAAUUGCGCUCGAAACUACGUGGCUGGAGUGUGGCAGAGGAAGGUGGAAUUCCAGGUGUAGCGGUGAAAUGCGUAGAGAUCUGGAGGAACACCUGUGGCGAAGGCGGCCAACUGGACGAGUACUGACACUGAGACACGAAAGCGUGGGGAGCAAACAGG